rnacentral:rRNA from 1 species
AUUGAACGCUGGCGGCAGGCCUAACACAUGCAAGUCGAGCGGAUGAAGGGAGCUUGCUCCUGGAUUCAGCGGCGGACGGGUGAGUAAUGCCUAGGAAUCUGCCUGGUAGUGGGGGAUAACGUCCGGAAACGGGCGCUAAUACCGCAUACGUCCUGAGGGAGAAAGUGGGGGAUCUUCGGACCUCACGCUAUCAGAUGAGCCUAGGUCGGAUUAGCUAGUUGGUGGGGUAAAGGCCUACCAAGGCGACGAUCCGUAACUGGUCUGAAAGGAUGAUCAGGCACACGGGAACUGAGACACGGUCCAGACUCCUACGGGAGGCAGCAGUGGGGAAUAUUGGACGAUGGGCGAAAGCCUGAUCCAGCCAUGCCGCGUGUGUGAAGAAGGUCUUCGGAUUGUAAAGCACUUUAAGUUGGGAGGAAGGGCAGUAAGUUAAUACCUUGCUGUUUUGACGUUACCAACAGAAUAAGCACCGGCUAACUUCGUG